UUUGUCCUACGGGAGGCAGCAGUGGGGAAUAUUGCACAAUGGGGGAAACCCUGAUGCAGCGACGCCGCGUGAGUGAAGAAGUAUUUCGGUAUGUAAAGCUCUAUCAGCAGGAACGAGACAAGACGGUACCUGACUAAGAAGCCCCGGCUAACUACGUGCCAGCAGCCGCGGUAAUACGUAGGUGGCGAGCGUUAUCCGGAAUGAUUGGGCGUAAAGGGUGCGUAGGCGGCCUGCUAAGUCUGGAGUGAAAGGUACCGGCUCAACCGGUACAGGCUCUGGAAACUGGCGGGCUAGAGAGCAGGAGA
rnacentral:rRNA from 1 species